rfam:Schwartzia succinivorans DSM 10502 genome assembly, contig: EJ98DRAFT_scaffold00017.17
GCCUCGGUAGCUCAGUUGGUAGAGCAAAGGACUGAAAAUCCUUGUGUCAGCGGUUCGAUUCCACUCUGAGGCA